ACGAACGCUGGCGGCGUGCCUAAUACAUGCAAGUAGCACGCUGAAGGAGGAGCUUGCUUCUCUGGAUGAGUUGCGAACGGGUGAGUAACGCGUAGGUAACCUGCCUGGUAGCGGGGGAUAACUAUUGGAAACGAUAGCUAAUACCGCAUAAGAGUAGAUGUUGCAUGACAUUUGCUUAAAAGGUGCAAUUGCAUCACUACCAGAUGGACCUGCGUUGUAUUAGCUAGUUGGUGGGGUAACGGCUCACCAAGGCGACGAUACAUAGCCGACCUGAGAGGGUGAUCGGCCACACUGGGACUGAGACACGGCCCAGACUCCUACGGGAGGCAGCAGUAGGGAAUCUUCGGCAAUGGACGGAAGUCUGACCGAGCAACGCCGCGUGAGUGAAGAAGGUUUUCGGAUCGUAAAGCUCUGUUGUAAGAGAAGAACGAGUGUGAGAGUGGAAAGUUCACACUGUGACGGUAUCUUACCAGAAAGAGACGGCUAACUACGUG
rnacentral:rRNA from 1 species